AUUGAACGCUGGCGGCAUGCCUUACACAUGCAAGUCGAACGGUAACAGGUCUUCGGAUGCUGACGGGUGGCGAACGGGGGAGUAAUACAUCGGAACGUUCCCAGUCGCUGGGGAUAAGGGGUCGAAAUCUUUGCUAAUACCUCAUACCAGCUAAUGAUUAGAGCAGGGGAGCGCAAGCGUUUGCGCGGUUCGUGCGGCCGAUGGCAGAUUAGGUAGUUGGUGGGAUAAAAGCUUACCAAGCCGACGAUCAGCAGCUGGUCUGAGAGGACGAGCAGCCACACUGGGACUGAGACACGGCCCAGACUCCUACGGGAGGCAGCAGUGGGGAAUCUUGCACAAUGGGCGAAAGCCUGAUCCAGCAAUGCCGCGUGAAGGAUGAAGGCCUUCGGGUUGUAAACUGCUUUUGUACGGAACGAAAAGGCUCUGGCUAAUCCCUGGGGAACAUGACGGUACCGUAAGAAUAAGCACCGGCUAACUACGUG
rnacentral:rRNA from 1 species